rnacentral:rRNA from 1 species
GUCCACGCCCUAAACGAUGGCAACUGGGUGUUGGGGAAGCGAUUUCUCAGUACCGUAGCUAACGCGUGAAGUUGCCCGCCUGGGGAGUACGGCCGCAAGGUUAAAACUCAAAGGAAUUGACGGGGACCCGCACAAGCGGUGGAUGAUGUGGAUUAAUUCGAUGCAACGCGAACAACCUUACCUACCCUUGACAUGUCCGGAAGCCCGCUGAGAGGCGGGUGUGCCCGAAAGGGAAUCGGAACACAGGUGCUGCAUGGCUGUCGU